UACGUAGGGGGCAAGCGUUGUCCGGAUUUAUUGGGCGUAAAGAGCGUGUAGGCGGUUUGGUAGGUCCGCUGUGAAAACUCGAGGCUCAACCUCGAGACGCCGGUGGAAACCAUCAGGCUAGAGUCCGGAAGAGGAGAGUGGAAUUCCUGGUGUAGCGGUGAAAUGCGCAGAUAUCAGGAAGAACACCAAUGGCGAAAGCAGCUCUCUGGGACGGUACUGACGCUGAGACGCGAAAGCGUGGGGAGCGAACAGG
rnacentral:rRNA from 1 species